UUAGUGGCGAACGGGUGAGUAACACGUGGGCAAUCUGCCCUUCACUCUGGGACAAGCCCUGGAAACGGGGUCUAAUACCGGAUAACACUUCCUGCCGCAUGGUGGGGGGUUAAAAGCUCCGGCGGUGAAGGAUGAGCCCGCGGCCUAUCAGCUUGUUGGUGGGGUGAUGGCCUACCAAGGCGACGACGGGUAGCCGGCCUGAGAGGGCGACCGGCCACACUGGGACUGAGACACGGCCCAG
rnacentral:rRNA from 1 species